GCAGGCUCUAAAAUUGGCAGAAG
rnacentral:piRNA from 1 species